rnacentral:rRNA from 1 species
AUGCCGAAGAAGAUGGGCGUCAACUCCAAGGCGGAGGCCGCCCGCGAGCGCCGCUCCGCCGAGGAGUCGGACCGCCGCCAGCGCGCCGAGCGCGCCAAGGAGGAGGAGUACUGGCGCGAGGCCGAGGGGUCCAAGUCCCGCGCCGCGCGCCGCCGCGAGGAGGAGGCCGAGAAGCGCGCCGAGGCCGCCGCCCGCAAGGCCGAGAACCGCCGCCUCGCCGAGGCCGAGGCCGCCGCCGUCGCCUCCGCCGUGUCCAAGACGGACGCCCGCAAGGCCAACCGCGUCGGCGCCCCGGCCCCCAAGGUCACCGAGGCCGAGCUCGUGCGCCGCCGCGAGGAGGAGCGCCUGCGCCUCGAGCGCGAGGCCGAGGCCGCCAAGAAGCGCGCCGCGCGCACCGCCGAGGAGGAGGAGUACGAGCGCGUCGUCCUCGUCGCCAACACCAACAGGGACGACUCCAUCAUCGAGGCCUCGGGCGUCGACGAGGCCAUCGUGCGGUUGUCGCUUGUUGACACAGACGCGGCCUUGCCGGCAGACAGGCAUCCUGAGCGCCGCCUCAAGGCAUCAUUCAAGGCAUUUGAAGAGGCAGAGCUCCCUAGGCUGAAGGAAGAAAAGCCAGGCCUAACACUGAAACAGUACAAAGAUAUGAUAUGGAAGCUAUGGAAGAAAUCCCCAGACAACCCUCUGAACAAGGCAACUGAGUGA